AAGAGACGUUGCCCUUCGGGGUAUACCUCCCACCCUUUGUUUAUUAUACCUUUGUUGCUUUGGCGGGCCCGUCCUCGGACCACCGGCUUCUGCUGGUCAGUGCCCGCCAGAGGACCUAAAACUCUGUUUGUUAAUAUUGUCUGAGUACUAUAUAAUAGGUA
rnacentral:misc_RNA from 1 species